GGAGAAAGGGAGAGUCACCGACCAAUCACUGACUGAGGUUUAAUUAAAUCAGCAAAAGUUUCUGAUAUCAGGUUCAGGUGUGUGUUCACCUGGUUACAGUUAGUUCAGGUGUGUGUUCACCUGGUCACAGGUAGUUCAGGUGUGUGUUCGCCUGGUCACAGGUAGUUCAGAUGUUUGUUCGCCUGGUUACAGUUAGUUCAGGUGUGUGUUCACCUGGUCACGGGUAGUUCAGGUGUGUGUUCGCCUGGUUACAGGUAGUUCAGGUGUGUGUUCACCUGGUUACGGGUAGUUCAGGUGUGUGUUCACCUGGUGUGUGUUCACCUGGUUACGGGUAGUUCAGGUGUGUGUUCACCUGGUUACAGGUAGUUCAGGUGUGUGUUCACCUGGUUACAGGUAGUUCAGGUGUGUGUUCACCUGGUUACGGGUAG